CGUGCCUAAUACAUGCAAGUAGAACGCUGAAGAGAGGAGCUUGCUCUUCUUGGAUGAGUUGCGAACGGGUGAGUAACGCGUAGGUAACCUGCCUUGUAGCGGGGGAUAACUAUUGGAAACGAUAGCUAAUACCGCAUAACAAUGGAUGACUCAUGUCAUUUAUUUGAAAGGGGCAAAUGCUCCACUACAAGAUGGACCUGCGUUGUAUUAGCUAGUAGGUGAGGUAACGGCUCACCUAGGCGACGAUACAUAGCCGACCUGAGAGGGUGAUCGGCCACACUGGGACUGAGACACGGCCCAGACUCCUACGGGAGGCAGCAGUAGGGAAUCUUCGGCAAUGGGGGCAACCCUGACCGAGCAACGCCGCGUGAGUGAAGAAGGUUUUCGGAUCGUAAAGCUCUGUUGUAAGUCAAGAACGAGUGUGAGAGUGGAAAGUUCACACUGUGACGGUAGCUUACCAGAAAGGGACGGCUAACUACGUGCCAGCAGCCGCGGUAAUACGUAGGUCCCGAGCGUUGUCCGGAUUUAUUGGGCGUAAAGCGAGCGCAGGCGGUUUGAUAAGUCUGAAGUUAAAGGCUGUGGCUCAACCAUAGUUCGCUUUGGAAACUGUCAAACUUGAGUGCAGAAGGGGAGAGUGGAAUUCCAUGUGUAGCGGUGAAAUGCGUAGAUAUAUGGAGGAACACCGGUGGCGAAAGCGGCUCUCUGGUCUGUAACUGACGCUGAGGCUCGAAAGCGUGGGGAGCGAACAGGAUUAGAUACCCUGGUAGUCCACGCCGUAAACGAUGAGUGCUAGGUGUUGGAUCCUUUCCGGGAUUCAGUGCCGCAGCUAACGCAUUAAGCACUCCGCCUGGGGAGUACGACCGCAAGGUUGAAACUCAA
rnacentral:rRNA from 1 species